AAACUUUGACUGGUACUGUAUGUGAAAUGUAUGACCAAAGGGGUUUGACGUUAAACUAAGUACAGGGCUUUCAUCAACGUUCGUGUUUCUGUAGGUUGGGGGCUUUCAUCAAGGUGUUUCUAUAGGUUGGGGGCUUUCAUCAAGGUUAGUGUUUCUGUUGGGGGGGCUUUCAUCAAGGUUAGUGUUUCUGUAGGUUGGGGGCUUUCAUCAACGUUAGUGUUUCUGUAGGUUGGGGGCUUUCAUCAAGGUGUUUCUAUAGGUUGGGGGAUUUCAUCAAGGUUAGUGUUUCUGUAGGUUGGGGGCUUUCAUCAAGGUGUUUCUAUAGGUUGGGGGCUUUCAUCAAGGUUAGUGUUUCUAUAGGUUGUGGGCUUUCAUCAAGGUGUUUCUGUGGGUUGGUGGCUUUCAUCAAGGUGUUUCUGUAUGUUGGGGGCUUCCAUCAAGGUGUUUCUGUUGGUUGGGGGCUUUCAUCAAGGUUAGUGUUUCUGUAGGUUUGGGGGCUUUCAUCAAGGUUAGUGUUUCUGUAGGUUGGGGGCUUUCAUCAAGGUUAGUUUUUCUAUAGGUCGGGGGCUUUCAUCAACGUCAGUGUUUCUGUAGGUUGGGGGCUUUCAUCAAGGUUAGUGUUUCUGUAGGUUGGGGGCUUUCAUCAAGGUUAGUGUUUCUAUAGGUUGGGGAUUUUAUCAAGGUGUUUCUGUAGGUUGGGGGCUUUCUUCAAGGUGUUUCUGUAGGUUGGGGGCUUUCAUCAAGGUUAGUGUUUCUGUAGGUUGGGGGCUUUCAUCAAGAUGUUUCUGUAGGUUGGGGGCUUUCAUCAAGGUGUUUCUGUAGGUUGGGGGCUUUCAUCAAGGUUAGUGUUUCUGUAGGUUGGGGGCUUUCAUGAAGGUGUUUCUGUAGGUUGGGGGCUUUCAUCAAGGUUAGUGUUUCUAUAGGUUGGGGGCUUUCAUCAAGGUGUUUCUGUAGGUUGGGUGCUUUCAUCAAGGUGUUUCUAUAGGUUGGGUGCUUUU
ensembl:lncRNA